UUUAGAACUAGGGAUAGGUUAGGGCGAGAGUUAGAGUUAGUCUUAGGGCUAGGGAUAGUGUUAGGUUUAGGGUUAGGGCUAAAUUAGUGCUAAAUUAGAGCUAUGGUUAGUGGUAGGUUUAGGCCUAGCUUUAGGACUAGGGUUAGGGUUAGCAUUAGGUUUAGGGUAAGGUAUAAUGUUACAGCUAUAUUUUGGGCUAGGGCAUGGGAUAAAAUUAGGGUUAGGGCUAUAGUUAAGGUUAGGAUUAGGAUUAAGGCUAGUCUUAGGGCUAGGAUUAGGUGUAGGGUUUGUGUUAGGGUUAGGGCUAGGAUUAGGUCUAUGGCUAAUGUCAGUUCUAGGGUUAUGGUUAGGGAUAGUUUUAGGUUUAGGUUUAUGAUCAAGUCUAUUUUAAGGGUUACAUUGAGGGUUAGGGUCAGGUUUACAGCUAGGGGUAUUAUUAGGGUCAGAGUCAGGGUUAGGGUAUGGGUUAUAUUAAGGUUUAGGGUUAGGGCUAAAAUUAGCAUUAGGGUUAGGGUAAUGGAUAUGAUUAGGUUUCAGGUUCAGGUUAGGUUUAGUAUAAUGGACAGGGUUAGGUAAGGCAAAGGGUUAGAGUUAGGCCUAGGGAUAGAUCUUGGUUAAAGAUAUGGUUCAGGUAAUGGAUAGGAUUAGAGCUAGAGUUAGGACUAGGGUUAUGGUUAUGUUAGGGGUAUGGUUAGUGUUAGGCCUAGGGUUACAAUUUACUUAGGGUUAUGGUUAGGGUAAUGGAUAAAAUUAUAUCUGGUUGAGGGCUAGUGUUAUGGUUAGGAAUAUGGCUAUUGUUUGGUUUAGGUUUCAGGUUAGGACAAGGUUUAGGUUUAGGGUUAGGUUUAGGUUAAGUAUUAAGGCUAGGGAUAGGGUUAGGGCUACGAUUAAAACUAGAGUUAGGACUCAGAUUAGGGCUAGGUUUAUCGUUAGGUUAGGGCUAGUGUAGGACUAUGGCUAAUGUAAGAACUAGGGUUAUGAUUAAAGAUAGCAUUAGGUAUAGGUCAAGGUCUAGUGUUUAGAUUAGGUUUAGAGAGAUGAUUAGAGAUAGGGUUAGUAUUAGUGUCAGAGUCAGGAUCAGUGUUACUGAUCAAGGUUAGGGAUAUGACUCUAAUUAGGGCUAGGAUUAAGGCUAGGUGUAGGGUUAGGUUUUGUGUUAGGGUUAGGGUAAGAAUUAGGGAUAGGGCAAAUGUCAGGUCUAGCGUUACCAUUAGGCUAGGGUUAGGUUAAAGCUAUGGCUCAGUUUCAUUUUAGAGCUAGAGCUAGGGUUAGGGCUAGUUUUGGGAUUAGCGAUAGUGUUAGGGCUAGUGGUAGGAUGAGGUUUAGGCUUAGAUUUAUUGUUAUGGUUAAAUCUAGGUUUAUGGUUGGGGUCUGCAUUAGGGUUAAGGUUAGGGCUAGUGUUAGAGUUAUGGUAACAGAUAGGGUUAG
rnacentral:lncRNA from 1 species